rnacentral:rRNA from 1 species
AUUGAACGCUGGCGGCAGGCCUAACACAUGCAAGUCGAACGGUAACAGGAAGCAGCUUGCUGCUUUGCUGACGAGUGGCGGACGGGUGAGUAAUGUCUGGGAAACUGCCUGAUGGAGGGGGAUAACUACUGGAAACGGUAGCUAAUACCGCAUAACGUCGCAAGACCAAAGAAGGGGACCUUCGGGCCUCUUGCCAUCGGAUGUGCCCAGAUGGGAUUAGCUAGUAGGUGGGGUAACGGCUCACCUAGGCGACGAUCCCUAGCUGGUCUGAGAGGAUGACCAGCCACACUGGAACUGAGACACGGUCCAGACUCCUACGGGAGGCAGCAGUGGGGAAUAUUGCACAAUGGGCGCAAGCCUGAUGCAGCCAUGCCGCGUGUAUGAAGAAGGCCUUCGGGUUGUAAAGUACUUUCAGCGGGGAGGAAGGUGUUGAGGUUAAUAACCUCAGCAAUUGACGUUACCCGCAGAAGAAGCACCGGCUAACUCCGUGCCAGCCGCCGCGGUAA